rnacentral:sRNA from 1 species
GAAUCAGCCCAGUUGGUGUUCCCCUCUACGCACAGAAAGAUCCAGCUUGGGUAGCAGCAGUACAAGCUUCUCCAUAUUGCCAAACUAGCCAGCCUUUCCCUUUUUCUGGAGAAACCAUGUUUAGCAGUGAGAGUACAGCUGAGACUCCAUAAUUAUAGGUGACU